AACAGGGUCUUAUAUAGUUCUGGCUGGCCUCCAGCUUGUGACAGCCCUCCUACCUCAGCCUCCUGAGUGCUAGGAUUAGAGGUGUGCAGCACCAUACCUGAGCCUUGCUGUGUAAUUCAUGCUGGCUUUGAACUCACUGCAUAGCCCAGCCUAGCCUUAAAUUCAUUGCAAUCAUCCUGCUUCAAGCCUUCCAAGUGUUAGAAUUACAUGUGUGCACUAACAUGCCUGCCUCUGAAGAUUUUUAAGUAGAAAGACUGUAUUGGGAUUUUACUAGAAAAACAGCUAUAAUAUAAGAUAUACACAUGUAUAAGAAAUUACUAGGUUGGCUUACCAUGGUCAGCCACAAAGUCAAAUGAAGAUGCGGGUAGAAGGUGUCUGUGUGCUGGAGGCUGAAGGAUUCAAUCCAAGAUCUAGAGUUCAUCCCAGUGUCCUGUGGAAGUCUGCACCAAGAGGCUGAUGGGUCUGUGACAGAAAGCUGAAGAGUCUAUGCCCCAAAGAGUGAAGUAUCCAAGACAGAGUCUAAAGUGGAAGCCAGGAGACAAUGAACUAGCCAAACGCAAAAAUUUGAGCUCCUCCAAACAACAGAGCCCCAUCUGUCAUUCCUCUUUCCCUUUUAUGAGCCACGCUAUGGUAGGUCUUCUACACUCUAGAAGUAGAAUUGCUAAGCUGAUUUAGUUAAGCUUCUAAACAUCUCAAAUUGACAGAGUCGACCACUACAAAGGCAAACCUCCAUAAAGUGGCUUACAUUUACUACUUCCAUUGCUUUACUAGUUGCACUAGUCAAGGAAGAGUAGUAGUGCAGUAACCCCUAAAUCACAGUCUUCAACAACAGUUUUGGUUUUAUUUUUUUUUUUUUACUCUGUCCUUCUGUUUUUGCAGGGCUAGGGUUCAUGCAUAUCAGGCAAGCACUUCCCCACUUAACUAGACACCCAGCACUUAUCUACUCUGUGUUCCUAGCUGAGUAGAAGGCAGACAUUGGGACCUCUAGAAAUGCGAAAACGAAAAGGAGAUAGAUUGUGCAGUUUUUGCCUGAAUAUGUUACACAAGCCACUUCUGCUCAUAUUUCAUUGGCCAGGGGAAGUCAUGUGAUCAACCUAACUUCAAAGGGAGAGGGAGCUACAGCUCUACAGUGUCCUCUGGAGAAACAGAAUAUUUGUACCACCCUCAGACAACUACACUAGUCAUUCGUUCUUUCACAGUGUGACUUGAAGAUCCCUUACCUGUCUAAAAGUAUUGUGUCCAAACUGAGCCUCUAACAUUCCAAGAUUAUAUUUUCCUGAUGAGUGGACAGAUUAUUUUGGCAAGACUUUAGGACAUAGGAAGAGAAGUUAAUGGAAAAAGAGACUGCAAAGUAGGUGUUACCUAAAGAGUUUAAACUAUUCAAUAGGCAAAAAAAGAACCACUAACAUUUUUCAGAUGAAGGUUGUAAGUUAGAUAGCAAGUAGAAGAAUUACGUUGACAGAUAAGAGUAGGAAAGCUUAGAGGUAAGAGGGAGUAGGUUGGGACACUACUGCCAGAGGUGUGAACUGGAAUUACACACUAAAAUAGUCAUGAAGAUUACCUCCCGGUGUUACAUAUUUGUCUCUUGUCUCUUCUCCCAGUUGGCAAACUUAAUUAAAUGACAUACUGUAUCCUUUUA